rnacentral:rRNA from 1 species
GACGAACGCUGGCGGCGUGCCUAAUACAUGCAAGUCGAGCGCAGGAAGCAAGCGGAUCCCUUCGGGGUGAAGCUUGUGGAAUGAGCGGCGGACGGGUGAGUAUCACGUGGGCAACCUGCCUUGCAGACUGGGAUAACUCCGGGAAACCGGGGCUAAUACCGGAUGACCAUUUGGAUCGCAUGAUCCGGAUGUAAAAGUGGGGAAUUUAUUCCUCACACUGCGAGAUGGGCCCGCGGCGCAUUAGCUAGUUGGUAAGGUAAUGGCUUACCAAGGCAACGAUGCGUAGCCGACCUGAGAGGGUGAUCGGCCACACUGGAACUGAGACACGGUCCAGACUCCUACGGGAGGCAGCAGUAGGGAAUCAUCCGCAAUGGGCGAAAGCCUGACGGUGCAACGCCGCGUGAACGAUGAAGGUUUUCGGAUCGUAAAGUUCUGUUAUGAGGGAAGAACAAGUGCCGGUCAAAUAGGCCGGCACCUUGACGGUACCUCACGAGAAAGCCCCGGCUAACUACGUGCCAGCAGCCGCGGUAAUACGUAGGGGGCAAGCGUUGUCCGGAAUUAUUGGGCGUAAAGCGCGCGCAGGCGGUCUCUUAAGUCUGAUGUGAAAGCCCACGGCUCAACCGUGGAGGGUCAUUGGAAACUGGGAGACUUGAGUGUAGGAGAGGAAAGUGGAAUUCCACGUGUAGCGGUGAAAUGCGUAGAUAUGUGGAGGAACACCAGUGGCGAAGGCGACUUUCUGGCCUACAA